GCAGGGGUGGCGGAGCGGUCAAACGCGGCAGACUCAAGAUCUGUUGGCCUAGCGCCUACACAGGUUCAAAGACCACCUUUCUUUUUCCAAAAGAAAGCUAGUCGCACCAAAGAAAAAGGUGGUAUGAAAAUCCUGUCCCCUGCA
rnacentral:tRNA from 1 species